UGGGGAAUAUUGCACAAUGGGCGAAAGCCUGAUGCAGCGACGCCGCGUGAGUGAUGAAGGCCUUCGGGCUGUAAAGCUCUGUCUUUUGGGACGAUAAUGACGGUACCAAAGGAGGAAGCCACGGCUAACUACGUGCCAGCAGCCGCGGUAAUACGUAGGUGGCAAGCGUUGUCCGGAUUUACUGGGCGUAAAGGAUGCGUAGGCGGAUUUUUAAGUGAGAUGUGAAAUACCCGGGCUUAACUUGGGUGCUGCAUUUCAAACUGGGAAUCUAGAGUGCGGGAGAGGAGAAUGGAAUUCCUAGUGUAGCGGUGAAAUGCGUAGAGAUUAGGAAGAACACCAGUGGCGAAGGCGAUUCUCUGGACCGUAACUGACGCUGAGGCAUGAAAGCGUGGGUAGCAAACAGGAUUAGAUACCCUGGUAGUCCACGCCGUAAACGAUGAGUACUAGGUGUAGGAGGUAUCGACCCCUUCUGUGCCGCAGUUAACACAAUAAGUACUCCGCCUGGGAAGUACGAUCGCAAGAUU
rnacentral:rRNA from 1 species